rnacentral:rRNA from 1 species
UACGUAGGGACCGAGCGUUGUCCGGAAUCAUUGGGCGUAAAGAGCGUGUAGGCGGCCACUUAAGUCCUGCGUGAAAUCUUGCGGCUCAACCGCAAGCGGUCGUGGGAAACUGGGUGGCUAGAGUGCGGGAGAGGAGAGUGGAAUUCCUGGUGUAGCGGUGAAAUGCGUAGAUAUCAGGAGGAACACCAGUGGCGAAGGCGAGUCUCUGGACAUUUCCUGACGCUGAGGCACGAAAGCCAGGGGAGCAAACGGG